GAGUUUGAUCCUGGCUCAUGACGAACGCUGGCGGCGUGCUUAACACAUGCAAGUCGAACGGAAAGGCCCCGCUCGCGGGGUACUCGAGUGGCGAACGGGUGAGUAACACGUGGGUGAUCUGCCCUGCACUUCGGGAUAAGCCUGGGAAACUGGGUCUAAUACCGGAUAUGACCUCCCUUUAGUGUGGGGGGUGGAAAGAUUUAUCGGUGCAGGAUGAGCCCGCGGCCUAUCAGCUUGUUGGUGGGGUAAUGGCCUACCAAGGCAUCGACGGGUAGCCGGCCUGAGAGGGUGGACGGCCACAUUGGGACUGAGAUACGGCCCAGACUCCUACGGGAGGCAGCAGUGGGGAAUAUUGCACAAUGGGCGGAAGCCUGAUGCAGCGACGCCGCGUGGGGGAUGACGGCCUUCGGGUUGUAAACCUCUUUCGACAGGGACGAAGUGAAAAUGACGGUACCUGUAUAAGAAGCACCGGCUAACUACGUGCCAGCAGCCGCGGUAAUACGUAGGGUGCGAGCGUUGUCCGGAAUUACUGGGCGUAAAGAGCUCGUAGGUGGUUUGUCACGUCGUCUGUGAAAUUCCGGGGCUUAACCUCGGGCGUGCAGGCGAUACGGGCAAUACUUGAGUGCUGUAGGGGAGACUGGAAUUCCUGGUGUAGCGGUGAAAUGCGCAGAUAUCAGGAGGAACACCAAUGGCGAAGGCAGGUCUCUGGCAGUUACUGACGCUGAGGAGCGAAAGCAUGGGUAGCGAACAGGAUUAGAUACCCUGGUAGUCCAUGCCGUAAACGGUGGGCGCUAGGUGUAGGGGACUUCCACGUUCUCUGUGCCGUAGCUAACGCAUUAAGCGCCCCGCCUGGGGAGUACGGCCGCAAGGCUAAAACUCAAAGGAAUUGACGGGGGCCCGCACAAGCGGCGGAGCAUGUGGAUUAAUUCGAUGCAACGCGAAGAACCUUACCUGGGCUUGACAUAUACCGGACCGGCGUAGAGAUACGUCUUCCCUUGUGGCCGGUGUACAGGUGGUGCAUGGUUGUCGUCAGCUCGUGUCGUGAGAUGUUGGGUUAAGUCCCGCAACGAGCGCAACCCUUGUCUUAUGUUGCCAGCACGUGAUGGUGGGGACUCAUGAGAGACUGCCGGGGUCAACUCGGAGGAAGGUGGGGAUGACGUCAAAUCAUCAUGCCCCUUAUGUCCAGGGCUUCACACAUGCUACAAUGGUCGGUACAGCAGGUCGCGAACUCGUGAGAGUAAGCCAAUCCUUCAAAGCCGGCCUCAGUUCGGAUUGGGGUCUGCAACUCGACCCCAUGAAGUCGGAGUCGCUAGUAAUCGCAGAUCAGCAACGCUGCGGUGAAUACGUUCCCGGGCCUGUACACACCGCCCGUC
rnacentral:rRNA from 1 species